rnacentral:lncRNA from 1 species
GACUUUGCCACUUUUGCAUCUAAAUUGUUCGAACACAUGUACCAUUUUGAUUUCCAGAAAGUCUACUUCUUUGUGAUUUUGUUUAUGUAAAUGGUAGAUGUUUCUAAUGAAAACAGUAGAUGUGUCUUAUGGUGGUUGUAGACUUUACAACUUUUGCCAUCUAAAUAGUUCGAACACAAGUUCCCUUUUGAUUUCCAAAAAGUCUACCUCUUGGUGUUUUUGCUCAUGUAAUUGGUAGACAGUUCUCAUGAAAACAGUAGGCGUUUCUAAUGAUAAAUGUGUUGAUGACACGCUGGCGAUCCGGGGCAUGUGUGGUUCGGCCAAUCGGAGUGUAGUGUUUUGUGUGAAAUGAAUGAUCGGUUGAGAUUUGAAUUAGGGUAUAGAGUAGACGGCUGGGAGAAUGACACGUGGCGAUCCAAGUCAUGUGGGGUUCGGCCAAUGGAGAGUGGUGCUUUGUGUGAAAUGAAUGAGCGGUCGAGAUUUUAGGGUUGGGUUUAGAAUCGACGGCCAAGAGAGAUGACACGCUAGCGAUCAAAGGGAAUAAAGGUCAGGCCGAUGGAGUGGUUCUUUGAGAGCUACUGUUAUCAUGAGUCAUGUGUACUAUUUACAUGAGUUAAGUCUACUGUUAUCAUAAGUCAUGUCUACUAUUUACAUGAGUUGAGUCUAGUAUUGUUAUCUUUGUUCUUGGGAGGCUGCUUUCUCCUAGAACAUAUGUGACAUCUCUUGAAGAGUAUAUAGAGCUACUUGUUCUUAAUGAACGCACAAAUGUGACAUCUUGUGUAUAUAGAGCUAAUUGUUCCUAAUUAUCGACCUAAUGUAGUACUUCUCGUGUAUAUAGAGCUAUUUGUUCCUAAUGAUCGAGCAAAUGUGAAAUCUCGUGUAUAUAGGGCUACUCGUUUUUAAUAAUCGAGCUAACAAUACAUCUCGUGUAUGUAAGGCUAGUUGUUCCUAAUGAUCGAGCUAACGUGAUUAUCUUGUCUAUAGGGGCGCUUGUAUGUAAUAAUCGAUCUAAUGUGACACCACCAUGUAUAAAAGGUUAUUUGUUCCUAACAAUUUCCAUAACGUGAUUAUCUUGUCUAUAGGGGUGCUUGUAUGUAAUGAUAGAUCUAAUAUAAUACGUAUUGUGUAUACGGGGCUACUUGUUUCAUAAUAAUCGAGUUAAAGGUAGAUCGGAAGUAGGGUUUAAAUGUUUAGGGUUUAGGGUUUACAUGAUUGUGCGGUUGAGAUUUGAAUUAGGGUAUAGAGCGGACAGCUUGGAGCAUGACACGUGGCGAUCCAAGUGAUGUGGGGUUCGGCCAAUGGAGAGCAGGAGAGAUGACACGCUGGCGAUCCAAGGUAGACAUGUCUUGGUUAAAUGUAGACAUUUAUAAUGAAAGUAGUAGACAUUUCUUAUGUUAAAUGUAGACUUUGCAACUUUCACCUUCGGUUGAUUCAAUCUCAAGAACAAUUUUUGAUUUCCAGAAAGUCUACUUUUCUUUUAUUUCGCUUAUGUAAAUGGUAGACAUUUCUUAUGAAAAUAGUAGAUGUGUCUUAUGUUAAAUGUAGACUUUUCAACGUUUGCCUUCGGUUGAUUCAAUCUCAAGAACAAUUUUGAUUUCCAGAAAGUCUACUUUUCUUUGAUUUCUCUUAUGUUAAUCGUAGACAUUUCUCAUAGAAAAAAGUAGUUGUGUCUUAUGUUAAAUGUAGACUUUGCAUCUUUUACCUUGGUUUUUCUUCAAUCUCAAGAACAAUUUAGAUUUCCAGAAAGUCUACUUUUCUUUGAUUUCUCUUAUGUUAAUGGUAGACAUUUCUUAUGAAAAUAGUAGAUUUAUCUUAUGUUCAAUGUAGACUUUGCAACGUUUGCCUUCGGUUGAUUCAAUCUCAAGAACAAUUUUUAUUUCCAGAAAGUCUACUUUUCUUUGAUUUCUCUUAUGUUAAUCGUAGACAUUUCUCAUGAAAAAAGUAGUCGACUCUUAUGUUAAAUGUAGACUUUGCAUCUUUUACCUUGAUUUGCUUCAAUCUCAAGAACAAUUUANNNNNNNNNNNNNNNNNNNNGUUAAAUGUAGAGUUGCAAAUUUUACCUUGGGUUGAUUCAAUCUCAUGAACAAUUUUGAUUUGUAGAAAGUCUACUUUUCUAAUGAAAACAGUAGAUGUGUCUUAUGUUAAAUGUGUCUUUCGACUUGCAACAUUUCCUGUGAUAUUUUUCAUGACAGUAGUAGAUGUUUCUUAUGAUAGUUGUAGACAGUCUCAAGAAUCAUUUUGAUUUCUAGAAAGUCUACUUUUGUGUGAUUUUGCUCAUCUGAAUGGUAGAUAUUUCUAAUGAAAACUGUAGAUAUAGAGAGACUUAACAGAGAGUUAACGGUGUUAGUUUGCUUUAACCUGCUAUAGCAAGUCAAAACUUGUUGGGUAUCCAUACCUUAAGGCACACAAGUGGAACCCAAGAACUAAAGUCGAAGACGGGGGAAGCUGGUUCUAGUUCAAGUUUAAAUUAGAUUUCAAUUUCUUAAUUUAUACGCAUGAUUAGUGCAAACGUCUAAAGGGGUUUAAGAUAUUCAAACCUCAGAAUCAGUGGCGGAGCCAAGAAUUCAUCUUGGGGAGGUUCACAUAUAAAGUACCGAUUGUUAAAAAAAAUUUUAAAAAAUAUUAAUCAUUAGAUCGUAUACACUGAAUUAUUGUAUCAUAAGUUAAAAGUUGAAAACACAAUAACAUAACACUAAUAUAAAAUUCUUAAUCAACAAAAUUAAUAAGACAACAAUCCCGCAACAUCCAAUUAAAAAUAAAACAUGAAUACUUCAUAAAUUAAAAAUAAAAUCUAACCCGAAAACAAUAAAAUACAACUUUAAAUUAGCCAUAUAUCAAAACAAAACUGCUCAAUAUAUAAGGAAAAUUUGUGACAAAAAGUUAAAAAGGACCUCUAGUACUAAUAGCGUUAGAAUUCUUUAUUUAAUAUUAUUUUAACUUUUUAAUUCUAUUUUUAUAUUAAUUCUGAUUUUUAUUGUAUUUUUUUAUAUAAUAAAAUGUCACAUCACAUAGGCGGAGGAAGAAAAUGUGGGAGACUAGGAGGGUGAUGUCACAUCACAUGUGGGGUUGGGGGGGGGGGGAAACGGUGGGAGGGUGUGGUCUGACUCUAAGUAUAAAGAGGGUUGACCCAGUUUAUAUACAUAUUUAUAUUAAUUUAAUUAAAAAUAUACGUAUUUGACUGAAUUUGGGAGAAACCUGGCAGAGGUCCAGACCCCACCAGGCCUGUAUAUACCUCCGCCCCUGCUUAGAAUAUUCUUUUUUCUAAUGGAAGAAUUUACUGUGUAAAUGAUCAAAUAAGACUGUUGUCAUUUGUGUUUAGAAAAUGUCUUAAUACAUGCAUUAACCUUUAUGUUUAUACAUCAAUUACUCCAUCUCUAAUACACAUCACAGUCACUAUGCUCUGUUGAAGGUGAAGCCAAAGAGAAAAUUUGUGCCUGGUAUUUAAGAGUUAGAAAAUGUCUUACAUAAAACUACAAGAAUGAAUCGGAGACAAGUGGGUCUGGUCCUGUUAUGUCUGAUCAAUUCUAUUCUUGAGCUGUGUUAGAAGUAGUUCUAUGCAUUUCUUGAACUGCGAUCACAACCUCAGUAUUUGAAGGAAGUAGCACGUCUAAAGGCACUUCAACAAUUGAGCUUGUUUGUUGCUCUCCGAUAAAUAAAGAGUUCAUUUGAUCAGUGUGAUCCGAAAUGGGGUGGACUAAAGCUCCGGGGAAGUUGUUUGGUGAGUGCAUAACUGCAUCUUGCUGAUGAUUACUCCUUCUGAAAGCGUGAGAGUCGAGGUCUUUUUCAUUGAAAAUUUUGAACAGAGCUCGGAUCUUUCUCCAAGUUGAGGAUUCUGAAUCAGCGGGUUGCACCAACACGUACCUAUGCCUAUAAAUGAAGGAAGCUACAAAUAUGACUACAGCAAGUACUGACGUCAAACCGGCAAUGAGGAACAGGACCCAAAAGCUACCAAGGCCACGACUGUUACUAGAAAUGGUUGCAUCACUUGAGUCCUGACAACUAGACUCUUUCAACCAUUCUUUUUCAAGAUUUAAUAUCUCCUCUCCUCCUAUCAUGUUUAAGAUUGCUUGUGAAACAUCGGCUACAAGUGGGGAGCGUUUCGGAAACACCUGCAUGUAAUGUCAUCCCAGCAAAUUAAGUAAACAGAAUCAUGCACAUAAAUUAGUUAUAAAAAUAAAAAAUCUCAUCCAAAGAUGAGAAUCACAUUUCUGAUGCACUAUGUAAUGUAGGCAAAUAAGAGAGAGAGAGAGAGAGAGAGAUCUUACAAAAGCAAAUCCAUCAGUUUUAAAUAUGGGUGCAAUCAGGGUGUAUUUCGAACAAUAUUUGGCAAGAAAAAGCUUCGCCUUGGGGGUUCCAUGAACAAAAGCAGCAAUACCACCCUUCGCAGUUCCUUUUGAAAGAGCUUCAUCAAUUUCUUUCAUUGUUUCAAACUCCUUCCGCUUAGAAUCAUCAAAACCUACUUGUUUCAAGAGAUCACAAGAAAAAGCAUCCUUUAUGCAGCCCACAUUAUCCUGACUCCUUACUAGACCCUCUAUGUCAGUAACUGUUGGCUGGAGUUGUUCGACUGUAUACAAUGAUGAUAAACUGGCUGUGUAAUUUAUUGUCAAUAUAAGCACAACAAACAACCAGAUAAUCAUAACGAAUCUAGCCAAGUUGCUAACAACUCUCUCCCCUGUAAAUUACAAAUGUAAGUUGAUUAGGAAGAAAUAUAGGACCUGAAAACUUAUGAGAACAAAG